rnacentral:rRNA from 1 species
GACGAACGCUGGCGGCGUGCUUAACACAUGCAAGUCGAACGGUGACGGAGAGCUUGCUCUCCUGAUCAGUGGCGAACGGGUGAGUAACACGUGGGCAACCUGCCCAGACUUCGGGAUAACGCUUCGAAAGAGGUGCUAAUACCGAAUACGAACCUCCCUGGCAUCUGGGAGGUUGGAAAGUUUUUCGGUCUUGGGGAUGGGGCCCGCGGCCUAUCAGCUUGUUGGUGAGGUAACGGCUCACCAAGGCGACGACGGGUAGCCGGCCUGAGAGGGCGACCGGCCACACUGGGACUGAGACACGGCCCAGAC